UUUUAGAAAAGGCAAACCUUUUGAAAGGGAGGGACGUAAAACCAGUGGUCUAAGGGGUUAAUGACGCCUAAGAUAGCACGGUUGCCUCU
rnacentral:ncRNA from 1 species